UAGCGACAGGCCUAACACAUGCAAGUCGAGGGGCAUUGGGGCGAGGAGCAAUCCUUGCCGCCGGCGACCGGCGCACGGGUGAGUAACGCGUAUGCGACCUGCCCGUUGCAGGGGGAUAAUCGGGAGAAAUCCCGUCUAAUACCGCGUAAUGCCGCGGGGCUGCAUGGCCCUGCGGCCAAAGGAAGCGAUUCCGGCAACGGAUGGGCAUGCGUGACAUUAGCUAGUUGGCGGGGCAACGGCCCACCAAGGCGACGAUGUCUAGGGGUUCUGAGAGGAAGGUCCCCCACACUGGUACUGAGACACGGACCAGACUCCUACGGGAGGCAGCAGUGAGGAAUAUUGGUCAAUGGGCGCGAGCCUGAACCAGCCAAGUCGCGUGAGGGAUGACGGCCCUACGGGUUGUAAACCUCUUUUGUCGGGGAGCAAAUUCCGCCACGCGUGGCGGGGUCGAGGGUACCCUAAGAAAAAGCAUCGGCUAACUCCGUGCCAGCAGCCGCGGUAAUACGGAGGAUGCGAGCGUUAUCCGGAUUUAUUGGGUUUAAAGGGUGCGUAGGCGGACUGUCAAGUCAGCGGUAAAAUACGGGGGCUCAACCUCCGCCCGCCGUUGAAACUGACGGUCUUGAGUGGGCGAGAAGUAUGCGGAAUGCGUGGUGUAGCGGUGAAAUGCAUAGAUAUCACGCAGAACUCCGAUUGCGAAGGCAGCAUACCGGCGCCCAACUGACGCUGAAGCACGAAAGCGUGGGUAUCGAACAGGAUUAGAUACCCUGGUAGUCCACGCAGUAAACGAUGAAUACUAGCUGUCCGGGGCGAAUGAGCCCUGGGUGGCACAGCGAAAGCGUUAAGUAUUCCACCUGGGGAGUACGCCGGCAACGGUGAAACUCAAAGGAAUUGACGGGGGCCCGCACAAGCGGAGGAACAUGUGGUUUAAUUCGAUGAUACGCGAGGAACCUUACCCGGGCUCAAACGACACAGGAACGGUCCUGAAAGGGGUCGGCUCUACGGAGCCUGUGUCGAGGUGCUGCAUGGUUGUCGUCAGCUCGUGCCGUGAAGUGUCGGCUUAAGUGCCAUAACGAGCGCAACCCCCAUCGACAGUUGCUAACAGGUUAGGCUGAGGACUCUGUCGAGACUGCCGGCGCAAGCUGCGAGGAAGGCGGGGAUGACGUCAAAUCAGCACGGCCCUUACGUCCGGGGCGACACACGUGUUACAAUGGCAGGUACAGCGGGAAGCCACCUGGCGACAGGGAGCGGAACCCGAAAGCCUGUCUCAGUUCGGAUUGGAGUCUGCAACCCGACUCCAUGAAGCUGGAUUCGCUAGUAAUCGCGAAGCAGCCACGGCGCGGUGAAUACGUUCCCGGGC
rnacentral:rRNA from 1 species